rnacentral:rRNA from 1 species
CCUACGGGAGGCAGCAGUGAGGAAUAUUGGUCAAUGGACGCAAGUCUGAACCAGCCAUGCCGCGUGCAGGAAGACUGCUCUAUGAGUUGUAAACUUCUUUUGUACGAGGGUAAACGCAGAUACGCGUAUCUGUCUGCAAGUAUCUUACGAAUAAGGAUCGGCUAACUCCGUGCCAGCAGCCGCGGUAAUACGGAGGAUUCAAGCGUUAUCCGGAUUUAUUGGGUUUAAAGGGAGCGUAGGGGGGCGGUUAAGUUAGAGGUGAAAUCCUGAGGCUCAACUUCGGAAUUGCAUUGGAUACUGGCAGUCUAGAGAAUAGUUGCGGUAGGCGGAAUGUAUGGUGGAGCGGUGAAAUGCUUAGAGAUCAUACAGAACACCGAUUGCGAAGGCAGCUUACCAAGCUACGUCUGACGUUGAGGCACGAAAGCGUGGGGAGCAAACAGGAUUAGAUACCCGAGUAGUC